rnacentral:snRNA from 1 species
GGAAAUGGUUACUUUGGCUUCCUGUCUGGCACCCCAUUGACUGCCACUGUUGACAAGGCUGGUAAGUCUGACUAGUUGGGUGUCUCCUUCCUUCCUCAUCGUCCCAUUGUGUCCUUCCGGAAGCUGAGUGCUCUGUGGAAAGGGAUGACCUUUCAUGGUAGUGGGGUGUCUGCUCAGUAGAGAGUGCAUAGGUGGUUGCAUUCCCAUUUGAUCCUUCAAACUGGCUCUCAAGGUCCAAAUAUGACCACACAGAGCACAUCACUCAUUGUUAAUGAUUCCAAAUAAGAUUCAUCUGAGUUGCUGAAUAUACAACUCU